rnacentral:rRNA from 1 species
CAGUAGCGUAUAUUAAAGUUGUUGCAGUUAAAAAGCUCGUAGUUGGAUUUCUGGUAGGAGUGACCGUGCCAGACUUGAUUGUCUGUGUAUUGUGUUGUCUCCAGCCAUCCUUGUGGAGAACUUUUCUUGCAUUAAUUUGUAGGGAUUGGGACCCGCAUCGUUUACUGUGAAAAAAUUAGAGUGUUUAAAGCAGGCAAUCGCUUGAAUACAUUAGCAUGGAAUAAUAAGAUAGGACUUUGGUACUAUUUUGUUGGUUUGCAUACCAAAUUAAUGAUCAACAGGAACAGUUUGAGGAUAUUCGUAUGAACAUGUCAGAGGUGAAAUUCUUGGAUUUUGAUCAGACGAACUACUGCGAAAGCAUUUAUCAAGGAUGUUUUCAUUAA